UUAGUGGGGUAGAGAGAGAGAAAGAGAUAGUCUCAAUAGACCAAGAAGUAGCAACAUCUAAGGCUAAAAAGGAAACAAAGGAAGAAAGUUCUGGUAGUCCUCUGGUUUAUUGGACCACAAGUGAGAAUCAGACAGUUAAGCUGGAUCCAAGUGAGUUGAACUAUCUUGCGCCAACACCAGGCGAGUUUUUCGUCCCAUUGUUCAGUUCAUCGAUGAAAG